AUUUUUAUUGCACAAUUAUUGCCUUAAGACCCUAAUCACCCCCCUCUAGGGUCUAACAAAUAUAUCACCAACCAAGCACUCCCAAGCUCAAGCAACAUGAAUCAUGUUGUAGGAUUACAUCCCGGGGUGCUGGGGUUAGACGAGCCACCUCGCGGUGAGUUACCCAUAUUUGCCAAUACUAUGAGGAACCACCUUGCUGCAUUUGGGCGAGAGUUACCUAUUACAAGUCACCGAUGCUACGGUUGGUCUCACUCUUUGAUAAACUUUGGUGGGCGAGGUUGACCAACUACGUCCUUAAUCGAUGGAGUGCGGACCUGAAGGUGGGCAGGUUGUAUGAAGCUAUCCGCGCUACAAAGUAUAGAUUGCCAAUUAACGUUCACCAUUUCCUUGCACUGAUAGAUUUCUACAAUCCGGAUUCUAACGCUUUCAUAACCAGACAUGGAGAGUUAGGAUUACCCCUUCAUGAGAUGUUUAAAGUUUACGGCUUAACGAUGGGGGGAAUGCCGUACCAGGAGUAUUUGCCUCCUAAUCAGGAGCUGGAGCAAUUGAAGGCCCGUACGCCAGCUCGAUUUGACACAUUAUGGGAGCUCACUUGUCACUAUCGGACAGCUCUGGCAGGAGUUAACCUAGUAGCAAAGAAGAAAUCAUCCCAGAUAAGUAUGAAACAAUUCUCAAGCUAUUUAUUCAAGAAUCUAGAUAAACUUGGUGAGACUAUUCGUGAAUUGAAGUCGUGAACUCCUUUAGAGGUCAACGAGCUGAUCAAAAAGUCUGGUGCCCGCUCUUAUACCAACACAAGUGUUGAGGGUAAAUUCCUUGCGGGGACCAAGUUCAGAACCUUCUUUUGGUGUGCACAGAAGUCCAUCCAGCCUAUGACUUUAUUGGCCGGCUACCUCGCAAUUUGGUUAAAGAAAUGUGUGGUGCCGUACCAGGCCUCUGAUGCCCUGCCGAUAAAGGUAUUAUUCCUGGCCGUCCAGCUAGCCCACGGGAAAAGCAUAUCCCUUCUUCCAGUGAUGGUCGCCGAUAUUCAUCGCGGGCUUCGUCAAGUAGUCAUCGUCUGCACUCAAAAAGAGGAUACACCAUCAGUUCAAAUUCCCACGGCGAAAGUGGAGCUGCCUUAUACGUACUUAAUGGCGUGGCUAGUUCUUCACCAUUCUGACAUGAUGUCAGCCCCGAGAAAUGUAGACCUGUCUAUUCCCAAGCUGCAACUUCUUGAAGGGUGUAAGUAGGAAGCAUGGAGCUUCCUAGAAGUGAGGAAGAGCCUGUAGAUCCACAUGGGUGUGGUCUUCUCCCCAUGUGCUCCUCGAUUUGCUAGUUGUUAUAGCGGGCUGUUAGCUAAUGAAGAGAUACCAGGGAUGAAUCGGACUUUGCUCGAUGUUGGCUACUUCCGAUAGUUGAUGAACAUUAAGCCGUGUCAUCUUAUCUUCUAGGUGAAGAAUCAUUGCUACUUGGAGACUUACUUACCGUGUCGAUUCGCCCGCCAGUUUGGAUAUGAUCAAUUCUACAUUGAAAAUCCGAACUGACAGCUCCAGACUCACGGCAGACUGGUUGAUGGCGCUUGGGCGUGGUUAUAGAAUGUAACAGGCUGUACCGGUGCUAAGUUCAGUCUCCCAGGUACUGAAUGUUGGUUAGAGCUAACAUAUUUAUGCUAUAGGUGGGUGAUAGCAGCUAAUGAGCCCGUCCAAGUGUGGCCAAUUGUAGAGUUGGCGUCCAAAGUCGCGUCCCGAAUCACUAAAAGGAUAGUUCGAGAAAACAUGCAACGACAGAGGAAACAAGGAAAAGAACCCGCCGAUCCCUCAGGCAGAGGGAAACACAGAGUAGAGGAAGAAGUGGAGCCCUUCACUUCUAACAAGGAGACUUUGGAAGAAGAGAUCGUAGGUGGUGAAGGCAUAACAUCGGGCAACGGUAAAGAGGAACUCAGCACAGGUUUAUCGGAAUCCUCUUACGAAGAACUGUUGGAUUUGGCGAUCACUAAUCGAACUCGUCGACUUAAGGAUCGAAAGAGGUGGAAAGUUUUGCCCACUUAUCCUCACAGAAUGAUUGUUGAACUUCCGUGUGCAGCUUCCAAAGAAGAAGAAGGGAGAACUCUCCCUAUCACUUGCACCCGAUCUCGGACCAUGGCCCAGACUGAACUACAAAUUGAGACGCGCGCUAAGUAUAAACAAGAUAGGCCUAUAGAUUCUGAAGAGGCUCGACCUUCCAAGUGCCAGAAAAUAAUUUUCAGAUGACACAUCGAGCCGUCGGUUCCCAAAACAGAACAAUUUGGCGACGCGCCUAUCGGUGGAGAAGGUAAUGCUUCAACUCUUCAUGGUCUUUUGACUCUUUUAUUUACUAUCUCUUAGACUUAGCAAAUUUUUUAUUUUAGAGGGUCAUGAAGAAGGUGAAGCUCACUACAACCCUCCUUCUCCUGACUUUGAUUAUUUUGAAGAACCUGUCUUCUCGCAACAGAUGGAUGAGGCUAUGGCCGAGGAGCCCACAGAUGUUGAAGCAGGUGUAGCCGUCGUUAGGACCGGCGAAGGGGUCGGUGUAGGACCUGGUCUAUCCACAAUGGUCUCUAGCCCAUGUAUAUCUAACACCGGUAGUACACCUUUCAGAUGGUAAUUUCAGGAAUUGAACGAUUCAGAAUCCGUGCCUCCCCUAAUUGUUUCCAUGCUUCUUGCUCUUUUAGAAAAAUUACAAUAAGUGAGCAUAAGUGUCGGGAUCGUGGAGCCUACUACCGCUACCAGAGAUAUUUCGAUGGAGGGUUCAGACGAUGAAGAAAAUUUCCAUGAUGCGGCCCUCGGAGAGUCGGGUGCACCCUCAUUUAGUCCGACACUAGCUAGCCCCUCUGGACUCUGACGACAGGCUAUUCGAUGAUAUGUUGUCAGAACCAGCCCAACGUGAGGCCGCCGAGCUAAUUAAUGCAACUGGUUUGCCUACAGUGAUUAUUAUCGAGGCUAGGUCAUCGGCUCUUGAGACAUAACUCUUCAUCCCUUCAGAACCACCGAUUGCAGCACAACCGC